rnacentral:rRNA from 1 species
GAUGAACGCUAGCUACAGGCUUAACACAUGCAAGUCGAGGGGAAACGAUAGAGAAAGCUUGCUUUUUCUAGGCGUCGACCGGCGCACGGGUGAGUAACGCGUAUCCAACCUGCCCAUCACUUGGGGAUAACCUUGCGAAAGUAAGACUAAUACCCAAUGACGUCUCUAGAAGACAUCUGAAAGAGAUUAAAGAUUUAUCGGUGAUGGAUGGGGAUGCGUCUGAUUAGCUUGUUGGCGGGGUAACGGCCCACCAAGGCGACGAUCAGUAGGGGUUCUGAGAGGAAGGCCCCCCCACAUUGGAACUGAGACACGGUCCAAACUCCUACGGGAGGCAGCAGUGAGGAAUAUUGGUCAAUGGGCGAGAGCCUGAACCAGCCAAGUAGCGUGAGGGAUGAAGGCUCUAUGGGUCGUAAACCUCUUUUAUAUGGGAAUAAAGUUUUCCACGUGUGGAAUUUUGUAUGUACCAUAUGAAUAAGGAUCGGCUAACUCCGUG